UACGGGGGGAGCAAGCGUUGUUCGGAUUUACUGGGCGUAAAGGGCGCGUAGGCGGCCUCUGCAAGUCGACUGUGAAAUCUCCGGGCUUAACCCGGAAAGGUCAGCCGAUACUGCAGGGCUAGAGUGCAGAAGGGGCAACUGGAAUUCUCGGUGUAGCGGUGAAAUGCGUAGGUAUCGAGAGGAACACCUGCGGCGAAGGCGGGUUGCUGGGCUGACACUGACGCUGAGGCGCGAAAGCUAGGGGAGCGAACGGG
rnacentral:rRNA from 1 species